rnacentral:rRNA from 1 species
CCUACGGGCGGCAGCAGUGAGGAAUAUUGGUCAAUGGGCGCGAGCCUGAACCAGCCAAGUCGCGUGAAGGAUGACUGCCCUACGGGUUGUAAACUUCUUUUAUAAGGGAAUAAAGUGAGGGACGUGUGCCUUUUUGUAUGUACUUUAUGAAUAAGGAUCGGCUAACUCCGUGCCAGCAGCCGCGGUAAUACGGAGGAUCCGAGCGUUAUCCGGAUUUAUUGGGUUUAAAGGGUGCGUAGAUGGGUUGUUAAGUCAGUUGUGAAAGUUUGCGGCUCAACCGUAAAAUUGCAAUUGAUACUGGCAGCCUUGAGUACAGUUGAGGUAGGCGGAAUGCGUGGGGUAGCGGUGAAAGGCUUAGAUAUCACGAAGAACUCCGAUUGCGAAGGCAGCUUACUAACCUGGCACUGAGCUGGAUGACGGAAGGUGUGGGUACAAAACAGGAUUAGAAACCCUAGUAGUC